GACGGGUGAGUAACGCGUGGGAACCUACCUUUAGGUACGGAACAACAGUUGGAAACGACUGCUAAUACCGUAUGUGCCCUAUGGGGGAAAGAUUUAUCGCCUAAGGAUGGGCCCGCGUUGGAUUAGCUAGUUGGUGGGGUAAAGGCCUACCAAGGCGACGAUCCAUAGCUGGUCUGAGAGGAUGAUCAGCCACACUGGGACUGAGACACGGCCCAGACUCCUACGGGAGGCAGCAGUGGGGAAUAUUGGACAAUGGGCGCAAGCCUGAUCCAGCCAUGCCGCGUGAGUGAUGAAGGCCCUAGGGUUGUAAAGCUCUUUCAGCGAGGAGGAUAAUGACGUUACUCGCAGAAGAAGCCCCGGCUAACUUCGUGCCAGCAGCCGCGGUAAUACGAAGGGGGCUAGCGUUGUUCGGAAUCACUGGGCGUAAAGCGCACGUAGGCGGACUUUUAAGUCAGGGGUGAAAUCCCGGGGCUCAACCCCGGAACUGCCUUUGAUACUGGAAGUCUUGAGUCCGAGAGAGGUGAGUGGAACUCCGAGUGUAGAGGUGAAAUUCGUAGAUAUUCGGAAGAACACCAGUGGCGAAGGCGGCUCACUGGCUC
rnacentral:rRNA from 1 species